GGGUUCAUAGUUUAGCGGUUAAAACAUUACGCUGUUAACGUAAAGAGGAUGGUUCGAUUCCAUCUGCGCCCGCAA
rnacentral:tRNA from 1 species